rnacentral:rRNA from 1 species
UACGUAGGGGGCAAGCGUUAUCCGGAAUUACUGGGUGUAAAGGGAGCGUAGACGGUAAUGUAAGUCUGGAGUGAAAGGCGGGGGCCCAACCCCCGGACUGCUCUGGAAACUAUGUUACUAGAGUGCAGGAGAGGUAAGCGGAAUUCCUAGUGUAGCGGUGAAAUGCGUAGAUAUUAGGAGGAACACCAGUGGCGAAGGCGGCUUACUGGACUGUAACUGACGUUGAGGCUCGAAAGCGUAGGGAGCAAACAGG